GAUGAAGAACGCAGCGAAAUGCGAUAAGUAAUGUGAAUUGCAGAAUUCAGUGAAUCAUCGAAUCUUUGAACGCACAUUGCGCCCCUUGGUAUUCCGAGGGGCAUGCCUGUUUGAGUGUCAUUAAAUUCUCAACUACACUGACUUUGAAUUGGUGUGGCUUGGAUUUGGGGGGAAAAUUGUUGUGGGCUUUUUGUAUAGUCUGCUCCCCUGAAAUUGAUUAGCGGUACCUUUGUGGAACUGUCUACAGGUGUGAUAAUUAUCUACAUCUUAGACAUCUGCUGGAAUGCUGCUUUCUAAACCUUACUUGUAUUGACAAUCUUGACCUCAAAUCAGGUAGGACUACCCGCUGAACUUAAGCAUAUCAAUAAGCGGAGGA
rnacentral:misc_RNA from 1 species